CUACGGGGGGCUGCAGUGAGGAAUUUUGCGCAAUGGGGGGAACCCUGACGCAGCAACGCCGCGUGAGUGAAGAAGGCCUUUGGGUCGUAAAGCUCUGUCAACAGGGAAGAAGUUACUUCAUAUUAAUAGUGUGUAGUAUUGACGGUACCUGUGGAGGAAGCAUCGGGUAACUCCGUGCCAGCAGCCGCGGUAAUACGGGGGAUGCAAGCGUUAUUCGGAAUCAUUGGGCGUAAAGGGCACGCAGGCGGCUCUGUCAGUCAGAUGUGAAAGCCCGGGGCUCAACCCCGGACGUGCAUUUGAAACAGCAGAGCUUGAGUACGGUAGAGGAAAGCGGAAUUCCUGGUGUAGAGGUGAAAUUCGUAGAUAUCAGGAGGAACACCGGUGGCGAAGGCGGCUUUCUGGACCGAAACUGACGCUGAGGUGCGAAGGCGUGGGUAGCGAACAGGAUUAGAUACCCGCGUAGUC
rnacentral:rRNA from 1 species